rnacentral:lncRNA from 1 species
AUGGGAAGGAAGGCAGUCCUGGGCUUCUGGCUCUGCUUGUCUGAUUCCAGCCGCUGGAAGCCACACUUACUGCAGAGCGAGCGCCCCAGUACCCUCUCUGAGAUGCGAUUGCACCUUUCUUGUGGGCCGUGGAGGCCCGAAGUGCAAAGAUGGACGCUCUCUUCCCCAGGACAGGCAGCGUGGCCCCAGAGCAGAGACCCGGGAUCAGCAAGUAGCCCAGAUACUUGCCAGGACUGUUUCUCAAUGAUUGAUGUCGAAAAUCAUGAGGAAGAAAUUGUUCUCUGCGUAACAGUCAAGUACCUGUUUGGAAACCCGACUUCCUGGAAGCCAGCAUGGGUGGGGACUUUCUUGGAGGAAGGGAACGGGAAGAGCCUGGAAGUCCCUGGGAUGGGGGAGAGGAGCCAGUCCCUCCGCAGCAGCCCUGGGAGCUCUCAGGGCCAGGACGGGAGGAAGCUGGCCUUCAGGAACACACACAAGUGCGUGUCCGAAGUGCCCCAUCCAGCAGGUUCCCAUUCAUUCUAAAUAAUUAGGCUGACAUCUGGGGAUGAUUUAUAACUACAGUUUAUUUGAUGCAACAAUAAAACUCCAGAGUUUGGCA